GCAGACGGUGCGUGGUUUCUUUUUGGUUUGUAGCUGUUUGGCUAAUAGAUGUGGGCAUGUGGAUUUUAAAUGUAGAGUUUCUCUUUUCUCAGUGCGUUUUAUGUCUGGUUGGGUCACAGACUGUCCACUGCAUGUCAGCCGUGAAAUCAGUGAAAAGUCUUCCUGCAUGUUAAUUCGAGCUGUGAGCGACUAUACACUUCGUGUGGCACGAGGGAUUGCUUUGGGCACUGCCGGCCUGAGGCUGGGAGGCUAGCUAGCUAGCUUGGAGUACGGGUGGUGGUGCAAUUGUGUGGAGUGCAGUGCUGCUUGGAUUCACCUUUCACUGUGUGUGCGUGCGUGCGUGCGUGCGUGUGUUACACGAAUUCACAGAUAGGGUCUUCACUCCAUCUAGCCUGCCCCUGCUGCUGGAAAGCCUGUGUCUUUUAUUUUUUUUUUUUUUUUUUUUUUGUUGUGAGUAUUUUCAAAUUGAUAUUUUUAUUUUGUCCAGUACACAGAGUUUCUGAUUGUGACAGUGUUUGAUUGUGACCUGACAUUUGACAUUGAUUAUCAUUGAACAUUUUAACUAUUUAUGGUGAU